UGGGGAAUUUUGGACAAUGGGCGAAAGCCUGAUCCAGCCAUGCCGCGUGAGUGAAGAAGGCCUUCGGGUUGUAAAGCUCUUUUAGUCGGAAAGAAAGAGUUGCAAUGAAUAAUUGUGAUUUAUGACGGUACCGACAGAAAAAGCACCGGCUAACUACGUGCCAGCAGCCGCGGUAAUACGUAGGGUGCGAGCGUUAAUCGGAAUUACUGGGCGUAAAGGGUGCGCAGGCGGUCUUGCAAGUCAGAUGUGAAAGCCCCGGGCUUAACCUGGGAAUUGCGUAUGAAACUACAAGACUAGAGUGCAGCAGAGGGGAGUGGAAUUCCGUGUGUAGCAGUUAAAUGCGUAGAGAUGUGGAAGAACACCGAUGGCGAAGGCAGCUCCCUGGGUUGACACUGACGCUCAUGCACGAAAGCGUGGGGAGCAAACA
rnacentral:rRNA from 1 species